GCAUGUUACGGAUUGCUUGACAGAAACUGUUUUCAUCAUUUUAUUUUUGUCAAUAAUUUUUCAGUUGGGAGGCACUCUCGAAGAGGUGUAAAACAAAGAGAUUACGACCCUAUGGAUUUACAUAUGGCCGUUGAAGCUGUCACAAAUGGUUUAAUGAACCCGAGUACAGCAGCUGCUACUUUCAAAGUACCAAGAGCUACCAUAUAUCUCCGGAUUAAAAACACUGCAAGAAGCUUUGACAAUGGAACUAGAUAGAAAUGUUCUCUUAUUUUUGGAUGGUCG
rnacentral:lncRNA from 1 species